UUAAAACUGGUGCUACUCGAC
rnacentral:siRNA from 1 species